CCAGUUUGAUUCCAGCUCACCUGGUAGAGAUCUUGGCAGCCUAAAGCAAAACAAGAGAAGACAGUUGUCAUAUGACAAAGAUGGUUCUUUCCACUUAGAAAGGCAGAAUAGGGGCUGGGGCAACUCAGCAGCAGAGCAUGUACACAGUGCACAUCAAGUCCUGGGGCCAGUCCUCAGCAUCAGAACACCAGCACAAGCAAAAGCCCCCAGGAGUCCACAUCUCAAUUUUUGACAAUUAUUUGAGAAAUCCUUAUCAAAUAUUGCUAUGGAAAUUUCUAACAAGAAAGUAAUAGAGCAAUAGUAAUGGCAUUAUGCAGGGCUGACAGGAGCACAAGGCACAGCAGCGAACUGGUCACACUCAUCUUCCCUAAUGACUGAUUGGCAAGGAAACCCUAGGGAUGCUCUUGGCUCUGCCUCCCAAGCACUGGGAUUACAGAGGACCUGGGUUCGAUUCCUAGCACCCACAUGCUACUCAGAACUGCCUGUAACUUCAGCUCCAGAGGUCUGAUUCUUUCUUCUGGUCUCUGAAACGAUGAAUAGA